GGAUGAAUAUACAGAAACCUGAUUACAAAAAUAAACAUGUACUGUAUGCACUGUACACUGUACUGCAGUAUGCUCUGAGCCAGAUUUAGGUCUCAGUUGACAAAAGUCUGCUGCUUGGUAAAUCAGAAUUAAUAUUUAGAGGUUAGAGUGGGCGUUCCUCUCUUCCCCUCCUCCCCUUCAUACUUCGACUCUCUGCAUACUGAGAGCCUGGAGUAUAGAAGUAAGCUAGAGAUGACGACCUCGCCAACCCCCCUGGAAAGGUCGAGUACUCGUUUAUUUGUCAUUUUAUAUUGAAAUAAACGAUUGUACAAAUUUA